AAAAAGACAAACUCUGGGUUUCCGUGUCCAACGUUUGACUGUCCGUCUUAUAUGAAAUUUUUUUAUAAUUAGUAUUUUUAUUGUUGUUAGAUGAUAAAACAUGAUCAAUACUUUAUGCGUGACUUGUCUUUUUAAUUUUUUUCAUAAUUUUUUCAAAUAAGACGGACAGUCAAAUGUUGGACACAGAAACCCAGGGUUUGUCUUUUU
rfam:Oryza glumipatula chromosome 12, whole genome shotgun sequence.